rnacentral:rRNA from 1 species
UGGGGAAUUUUGGACAAUGGGCGAAAGCCUGAUCCAGCAAUGCCGCGUGUGUGAAGAAGGCCUUCGGGUUGUAAAGCACUUUUGUCCGGAAAGAAAUCCUUGGCUCUAAUACAGUCGGGGGAUGACGGUACCGGAAGAAUAAGCACCGGCUAACUACGUGCCAGCAGCCGCGGUAAUACGUAGGGUGCAAGCGUUAAUCGGAAUUACUGGGCGUAAAGCGUGCGCAGGCGGUUUGCUAAGACCGAUGUGAAAUCCCCGGGCUCAACCUGGGAACUGCAUUGGUGACUGGCAGGCUAGAGUAUGGCAGAGGGGGGUAGAAUUCCACGUGUAGCAGUGAAAUGCGUAGAGAUGUGGAGGAAUACCGAUGGCGAAGGCAGCCCCCUGGGCCAAAUACUGACGCUCAUGCACGAAAGCGUGGGGAGCAAACAGGAUUAGAUACCCUGGUAGUCCACGCCCUAAACGAUGUCAACUAGUUGUUGGGGAUUCAUUUCCUUAGUAACGUAGCUAA